rnacentral:rRNA from 1 species
AUUGAACGCUGGCGGCAUGCUUUACACAUGUAAGUCGAACGGUAACAGGUUAAGCUGACGAGUGGCGAACGGGUGAGUAAUGCAUCGGAACGUGCCCGGUCGUGGGGGAUAACGCAGCGAAAGCUGCGCUAAUACCGCAUACGAUCUGAGGAUGAAAGCGGGGGACCGUAAGGCCUCGCGCGAUCGGAGCGGCCGAUGUCAGAUUAGGUAGUUGGUGGGGUAAAGGCUCACCAAGCCAACGAUCUGUAGCUGGUCUGAGAGGACGACCAGCCACACUGGGACUGGGACACGGCCCAGAGUCCUACGGGAGGCAGCAGUGGGGAAUUUUGAACAAUGGGCGGAAGCCUGAUCCAGCAAUGCCGCGUGCAGGAAGAAGGCCUUCGGGUUGUAAACUGCUUUUGUACGGAGCGAAAAGGUCUCCUCUAAUACAGGGGGCUCAUGACGGUACCGUAAGAAUAAGCACCGGCUAACUACGUGCCAGCAGCCGCCGUAA